AGGUAAUUUUUAUUAAAAAUAAUAUUAAAUAUUAUUUUAUUUUAAAUAUAAAAUUAUUAGAUUAAUUAAUUUGAAAUAUGUAUGUUUAUUAUAGUAAAAAGUAUUGUGAAAGAAAAAUAAUGUUUAUUUUAAAGAUAAAUUAAUUUUUUGUACCUUGUGUAUCAGGGUUUAUUAAUUAAUAAUUUUAAAUAAAGUUUUUUCGAAUUUAAAAGAGCUAAUAAAUUAAUAUUUUUAUUGUAAAAUAAUUAUUUUAAAUAGUUUAUUAGUAAUUAAAAGUUAUACGUUUUUAAAUAUAUCUAAUUUUUUAAGAAAUAAAUUUAAUUUAUUUAUUAUUAAUAUAGUUAUUUUUAAUUAUUAUAUAUUAAUAAUAUAAAAUAUUUUUAGGGAUAAGCUUGAAGAUAUCUAUUUAAUAAAAAUUAAAUUUUAAAUUAAAAUUAGGAUUAAAAAUUUUCAAAUUUUAAAAUAUGUUAUUCUUUAUUUUUAUAUUAUUAAGAUUUUUAUUUUUAUAAAUAUUUUAUUAAAAUAUAUUUUUAAUUUAUUAAAAAAUAGUAAUAAUGAUAAAAUUAGUAUAUAAAUUUUUAUAGAUAUAAAAAAUUUUAAGGUUAAAAAAAGUAAUUCGGCAAAAAUUUUUUCACCUGUUUAUUAAAAACAUGUCUUUUUGUUAUAUAUUUAAAGUCAUACCUGCCCACUGAUUGUUUAAAUGGCCGCGGUAUUUUGACCGUGCUAAGGUAGCAUAAUCAUUAGUUUUUUUAUUGAAAGCUGGAAUGAAAGGUUGGAUGAAAAAAAAACUGUCUCUUUUUAAAUUUUAUAUAAUUUUAUUUUUUAGUUAAAAAGCUAAGAUAAUUUUAAAAGACGAGAAGACCCUGUAGAGUUUUAUAAGUAUUUUAUUAUUUUAAUUUUUAAUAUAAUAUUUAUUUGGUUGGGGUGAUUUAAAAAUUUAAUAAACUUUUUUUUUCUUUUUAUAUUUAUAAAUAAGUAUUUGAUCUAAUAAUUAUUGAUUAAAAGAAAAAAUUACCUUAGGGAUAACAGCGUAAUUUUAUUGGAGAGUUCAAAUCGAUAAUAAAGAUUGCGACCUCGAUGUUGGAUUAAAAUUUAUAAUUGGUGUAGAAAUUAAUUAAUUAAGUCUGUUCGACUUUUAAAAUUUUACAUGAUCUGAGUUUAAACCGGUGUGAGCCAGGUUGGUUUCUAUCUUUAAUUAGUUAAUAUAUUUUAGUACGAAAGGACCAAAUAUAUAAAUAAAAUUUUUAUAUUGAGAAAAGA
rnacentral:rRNA from 1 species